GACCAGCUGCACUCUGGCCAUGGCUUUGCAGAACUCUCUGGAAGCAGUGUGGCUGGGGCUUUUCCUCAGUCCUUUCUGGAAGGUUGCAGAGAGCAAGGACCAAGUGUUUCAGCCUUCUACCAUGGCAUCUUCCGAGGGAGCUGUGGUGGAAAUCUCCUGCAAUCACUCUGUGUCCAACGCUUACACCUUCUUCUGGUACCUACACUUCCCGGGAUGUGCGCCAAGACUCCUCGUGAAGGGCACUAGACCUGCUCAGCAGGGACGGUACAACAUGACAUACGAACGAUUCUCUUCAUCAUUGCUCAUCCACCAGGUGCAGGUGGCAGAUGCUGCUGUUUAUUACUGUGCUCUGGAGGACACAGAGGCAGGGAGCCCACAAAGAGCUGAGCAGAAACAGAGAGAGAUUACGACCUUUGCAGGAGGCAGAAAAGAGAUCAGCAAUAACUUCUCCUACUCUCUUCCCCCCAAUUCAGCAUUCCCUGUUCCAUUUGACUCUGCUAUUUGGAAAAAGAUUGAGUUCACACUUACUCUAUAUUAG